rnacentral:rRNA from 1 species
AUUGAACGCUGGCGGCAGGCCUAACACAUGCAAGUCGAGCGGAUGAGAGGAGCUUGCUCCUCGAUUCAGCGGCGGACGGGUGAGUAAUGCCUAGGAAUCUGCCUAGUAGUGGGGGACAACGUUUCGAAAGGAACGCUAAUACCGCAUACGUCCUACGGGAGAAAGUGGGGGAUCUUCGGACCUCACGCUAUUAGAUGAGCCUAGGUCGGAUUAGCUAGUUGGUAGGGUAAAGGCCUACCAAGGCGACGAUCCGUAACUGGUCUGAGAGGAUGAUCAGUAACACUGGAACUGAGACACGGUCCAGACUCCUACGGGAGGCAGCAGUGGGGAAUAUUGGACAAUGGGCGAAAGCCUGAUCCAGCCAUGCCGCGUGUGUGAAGAAGGCCUUCGGGUCGUAAAGCACUUUAAGUUGGGAGGAAGGGCUCAUAGCGAAUACCUGUGAGUUUUGACGUUACCAACAGAAUAAGCACCGGCUAACUUCGUGCCAGCAGCCGCGGUAAUAC